UACAGAGGGUGCAAGCGUUAAUCGGAAUUACUGGGCGUAAAGCGUGCGUAGACGGUAGCGUAAGUCGGGUGUGAAAGCCCCGGGCUCAACCUGGGAAUGGCAUUUGGGACUGCAAGGCUGGAGUGUGGCAGAGGAGACUGGAAUUCCUGGUGUAGCAGUGAAAUGCGUAGAUAUCAGGAGGAAUACCGAUGGCGAAGGCAGGUCUCUGGGCUGACACUGACGCUCAUGCACGAAAGCGUGGGGAGCAAACAGG
rnacentral:rRNA from 1 species